GAUGAACGCUAGCUACAGGCUUAACACAUGAAAGUCGAGGGGUAACGAGAGGAAAGCUUGCUUUCCUUGUUGACGACCGGCGCACGGGUGAGUAACGCGUAUCCAACCUGCCCCCAACUAGGGAAUAACCUUGCGAAAGUAAGACUAAUACCCUAUAAUUUCCUCAGAUGUCAUCUGACGAGGAAUAAAGAUUUAUCGGUUGUGGAUGGGGAUGCGUCUGAUUAGCUUGUUGGCGGGGUAACGGCCCACCAAGGCAACGAUCAGUAGGGGUUCUGAGAGGAAGGUCCCCCACAUUGGAACUGAGGCACUGUCCAAACUCCUACGGGAGGCAGCAGUGAGGAAUAAUGGUCAAUGGGCGGAAGCCUGAACUAGCCAAGUAGCGUGCAGGAUGACGGCCCGAUGGGUUGUAAACUGCUUUUAUACAGGAAUAAAGUUAGCCACGUGUGGUUAUUUGUAGGUACUGUAUGAAUAAGGACCGGCUAAUUCCGUGCCAGCCGCCGCGGUAA
rnacentral:rRNA from 1 species